GGAGGAAGAAGAUGGACAUGAGUUCAGAGGUGGAAGGAGGGAGCUUGUCUGGUUCAGUUCCAGAUCUGGGGACUUCACUGCUUCCAGGAUUGAGUGAGAAUGUGGCAUGGACUGUAGAAUACCAGGAGCCAAGACCUGAAAGCAAUGGAGCCAGGCUACUACAGACACAGUGGAGCCAGUCAACUGUGGACACAGUGGAGCCAGGCUACUGCGGACACACUGGAGCCAGGCUACUGCGGACACAGCCCUCUGGAACCAUGAGCCAAGGAUGCAGGCUCAAGUGACCAGGGCCCUGGUUGUAGCCUGGACACCAGCUGUGCAGUUCUCCCACUGUGUGAACUUUCUCCAGAUGGGUGCCAAUCUCAUGAAGCCACGAAUGUCCUUGUAGAAUAAGUCUGGAAGCAAUAAUUUUAUGUUGCAUAUGGAAUCACGUGAGUGUCUCCCUGUGGAGUGUUGGCUGACUUGGAACUCACUAUGUAGACUAAACUGGCCUAAAACCUGAGGCAAUGCUCCCGCCUCUGCCUCAAAACUGUGGACUGACUACAGGUAUGUAAAAUAAUGCCCAGACUUCAAUUACUAAUUAAAAAAUGUAUAUGAGUGUUUUUCUUGCAUGUAUGUCUGUGAACCAGAAGAGGUCAUUGGAUCCCCUAGAACUAGAGGUAUAGAUGAUUGUAAGCUGUCAUGUGGGCGCUGGGUCUUGCGCCUAGGUCCUCUGGGAGUGCAGCCAGUAUUCUUAACUGCUGAGUCUCCAGCCCUGCCAACCACUAUUUUUAAAACCCCAAACUGAUUAAUCUCAGCAGUUUACAUUUCUUUUACCACAGGCCUCCGACUGGUGUAACAGUCACACAGAAGAAGCCUCUGUUAGCCACCCCUUUGUUUGGGAGUUUGUACUGUGGUUAUACUUGAAAGUGGCACUGAGCACGGUUCAUGCCUCAUCUUUUUUAUCGUUGGGUAGCUCCAUAAUUACCUGCUGACUCUGCACAGCUAACAGCGUGCUUUUCUGUGUUUUGAAGGAAAUUUGCUUCCAAGUACCUCAAGAGGUGCAAAACUAGAAGGCUGCAGCCAGAUGGAGUGACCAAGGCGACCCAGAGACAUACAAGUUUUGCUCAUGGUAACCAGCAACUCAAGGGCAGAGGUGAAGCCAGAAUUCGGAUGUCAUGGCUCCCAUGUUUCUAUUCUUGGGGACAGAUACCAGAGUCAAUGGACAAGCAAUGUCUUUUUGCUCAGAUUUCAGGGCCAUUUAGAGUUCAUUUGGUCACCAUGUUAAUCAGAGUUUAUGAUAAUAGGCUAAAUCAACUUUAUAACAGAACUCUGUAUGGCAGAAUAGUGAAAAUAAAAAUUUGUUUUCUGGUGUAGGAGAGAAAGUUCAAGAAGAAUUCAAUGUCAAAUCAUUUGAAAGGGUCUGAGUAACUGUGACAACUUGGGUUUCAUGCCAAGAUUUACACAGUCAUUUUAGUUAAACUUCACAGUAAUACAGUAAUGGACAUUCUAGUUUUCACAUUCAUGCACAUGAAAAACAGGCAUUCAAAGUAUAACAUGCCAGUGUAUGGGUGGCACAGGGAUGUUUUGUAGGUGAGGCUGGGAGUUGAAACUAGCUCUAUCACAAUUCAAGACCAACACACACUUCUCAAUUCCUCAGCUAUGGUGAAAUUUCCAUAAACAUUGAAUGUGUAAAUUUCACAUGUCUAAGUCUUCCAUGAAACUGGUGCAGCCUCUUUUUGGAGAUGGGAACUUGUUGUGAAAUACUAGUUGAAGAUAUGUUACAUUCCUUUGUGCUGUGGAAUAUUUGUUUAAUGAUGCAAAGAUGUGUUGCCCUCUUUCAUGUUGCAUUUGUUUAACUUUGUGAAGCUGUGUUACUUUGCCUGUCUAAAACACCUGAUUGGUCUAAUAAAGAACUGAAUGGCCAAUAGCAAGGCAGGAGAGAGAAAUAGGUGGGGUUGGCAGGCAGAGAGAAUAAAUAGGAGGAGAACAAGAAGAGGAGGAGAGAAAAAAAGAGGAGAGGAAGAUGUCAGGGGUCGCCUAGCAACACAGCAGUCAAUGGAGUAAGAAGGAAAGAAAGAGGCAUAGAAUAAAACAAGGUAAAAGUCCAAGGCAAAAGGUAGGUGGGAUAAUUUAAGUUAAGAAAAGCUGGCUAGAAACAAGCCAAGCUAAGGACAGACAUUCAUAAGUAAGAAUAAGUCUCCAUGUCUUUAUUUGGGAGCUGGGUGGCGGGUCUCCAAAGAGUGAAGAGUGAAAAAAAAAAAAAAAAAAAACUACAGGAACUCUCAACUAGUCUAGUUUAGGUUACUGUAUGAAACUAAAAACAAACCUACAAUCCCACUGAGCUGCGUGGAAGACACUGAGCAGUCCACACUCCUGUUCACUACUCAAGUUACAGUACCAUUUCAACUCUAAACUGCUUAUAUUUCUCUACCAGAAAAGGGAUCCAUGCCUAUCAAUUCUGCUAUUGUACUCACUUAGUGACUUGUUUUUGUUUAGGUCCUGACUUGUACUCCUAAUUAUAUCCUUGGAUUCCUGACUCAAGAAGGAGUUGGAAGUGGGAAGCCUGAGCUUGGUUGCAGACAGCAGCAGGGCAGGCUGGAGAGAACAGAGUGGAACCCAUUUCAACUCCUCCAGGAUUCUUUGUGGGAUCCUCAGGUGCAGCCUGUGGGUCCCACCUCAGUGUUUUCCAAGCUCCCAGGUGAUGCUUACACUAAGUACUGAGCCCACUCUUGAGAAGAACCAUUCAGCAGUAAUAUGAAAUCUCUCUCCCCACCUUCCUUUCCCUCCUUCCCGCCAUCCAUCCCUCCCCUCUUUCCUUCUUUUCUUAUUUUGGAACAGGGUCUUACAGAGUCUAAGUUGACCUCAAACCCCCUAUGUAGCUGACGUUGAACCCAAACUUUGGAUGCCCUUGCCUCUCUUUCCCAGGUAUGUACCACUGUGCCUAGUUGAUGUGCUGGGGGAUCAACCCAGAGCUAGGUAAACACUCUACCAGAAAAGCCACACACAUCUCCAUUCCCCAGCAUUGCAAAAUUUCUAAUUAGAUAAAACUCAGUUAUUUUCUUUUACAUGUUAUGAAGUCUGUGAACUUGGACUGGCCAGCAAGCCUUACAGAUAAAGUGCUGAAGACUGGUUCAAAUUCAGAUAGAAGCCAAGGAAGCAUUUGCAAAGCAUCAUCAGUGGUUUAGAAACUGGUCCAGAUGCCUUAGAAUGGUCUGCAGGAUUCUGGUGCGAUCUGAAAGGAUGUGGGCAAACAUCUCAGAGGCACUCGCCACAUGCUCUCUCUGUGAAAGAGUGGCCUGACAGGCCGUCACAGGGCCUCAGUCCUGUGUCCCCUAGAAGAUCACCUGGCUGAUGGGCACAGAUGACACACUUCAGCAGGGGUUCCUGUGAGGCAGCUCUGCUGACAGAGCUCACAAAGCCUGCCCUGGUGGACGACGAGCCAUGUUGGGCAGUCAGCAGGAUUUUAGCAGAAUAAGGACCACAGUUCAAAUGGCAGAUGCAUUAAACUGCCUCUGCUAAGAGACCGCCCUCGAUAACCAUGGGGAGCUCAGGGCCCACAAAGUUCAUCUUCCGCUUUUGGGCUUCUGAGAGGAUGAAAGUCCAGCAGAAGCCUAGAAGACCCUGAAUGCUUAUAACAUGCUGUAAAAAUGUGUUUUUCUUUCUUUCUUUUUUUUUUUUUUGAAAAUUUGAGAUGAAACCAUACCAGCAUUAAAAAAGAUGUAAUCCUGAUGGGGAAAUAUGUUUCUGACAGGAACUUGGAAGAGUAAGCUAGCUAUAGUCCUGGCUUGGAAAAUUUCAAGCAGCCUUUUACCCACAGCAUUGAGUUAAGUGCAUGCUGGUUGCUGUGGGUGGAGGUAGAUUCUUCCUUUUCUUCUUCAUAAAUUAUCUCGAAUGUCUCUUCAGUGAUUUAUACAAAUUUUAUAUUAAAAAAUUAACAUUAAAAUUUGGUGGUCGUUGGAAGAGCACUUGCUAUGUGACUGGCAGGCCAGCUUGAGGUGGCUAACUUAAUUUUUUAUUUUUAUUUUAUGUGCAUUGGUAUGUUGCCUGCAUGUGUGUCUGUGUGAGGGUGUUGGAUCACAUGGACCUGGAGUUACAGAAGUUGUGAGCUGUCAUAUGGGUGCUAGGAAUUGAACCCGGGGCCUCUGGAAGAGCCACCAGUGCUAUUAACCGACCGUUAAGCCAUCCCACUAGCCCCAAAGUGGCAAACGGGGGGGCGGGGAGAGGGGGGAGAGGGAGAGGAGCCAAGAACAGAGAGAACCAGCCCAACAAGUGAGAAGGGCAGUGGCAGAGUCAGUGAGAGAGGGGAGACAGGUUCCUGGAGGACAGGCACAUGCUGAAGACCUCAAGAGGGGAGAGAACUCCCUGGUCCUUCAGCUACAUACCUGGGACUUGCUCUUAGAAAUGAGCACUGUGAACCGGGUGUGGUCAUCAGAAUAUUCACUGUGGCCUGUUUUAUUAAUGGAAAAAUGGAAAUGGAUGGCAGGUCCAAUAAGAAUGAGCCCAAAUGAUGGUGGAGCAGAUUUUUGGAAUGCCAUGUGACCAUCAAAGUCACCUUGUAAAAGGAUUUGUAAAUGAUAUCCUACCAUUGAGAAUAACCUGAUAUCCUGGGCUGUGCAGGUCACAGUGUUUCUAAUUCUUGGUGCUUAUUAUGGGGUUCAUUUUGUUCAUGAGAUGCAUCCUUAUAGCUGGGUCCAUUUCUCUUAUAAAAUGUUAAAGAACAGUUUUAAUAAGUCGAAAGUAGGUCUUGGUGUAUUAGCAAAUUUUACAUUUUAUAUAUAUAUAUAUGAAUGUAUGCAUGCAUGUGUAAAUGUGUAUAUAGCAGAUAAACAUUUGCUCCUAACUAUGGGCAGUGCUAUUUUGUGGCUAUGGAUUAUCACUGUUAACUUUAACUGUAAGGGUGAUACAGCCUAGCGUCACCUGAAAAGAGAUUUAACCGAGUAUCCAUCCUUAUCAGGUUGGUUUGUGGGCAUGUCUGUGAGGGAUGGUUUUGAUUGUUAACUGAUAGAGAAGGGCCCAGCCCACUGUGGGCAGUACCAUUCUCUAGGCAGGUGGUCUUGGCCUUAUAUAGAAACUAGUUAAGUAUGAGCCUGUGAGCAAAACAGUAAGCAGUGUUCCUUCAUGGUUCCUGGCUUCAAGUUCCUGCCCUGACUUUCCUCAGUGAUGAACUGUGACCUAGAAGUGUACAUCAAAUAAUCCAUUUCUCCCCCCAAGUUUCUUUUGAUCAUGUUCAUCACAGCAAUUGAAAGGAAGCUAGAACAGGUACUAUUUUUGUCCAUCCUCUAGAAUGUUCAUAAAUGUUACUUUAAAAACGUCAAAGGUCAGAAGGAGGCAAAUGCUUUCUCUGUCUCAGUUCCUAUCCUUAGGCCACCGCUCUGUCCUUCUGGGUCUGGCUUCUAUGGACACUCAAAAACAGGCAAUAAGAAAUUUCCCCAUCCGGUAUCUGAGGUCCCUCUCACUCCAGCUGGGUUGUCCUUACUGCAAACUCACAACAUAGAUGAGCUGGAAGUUAAGGCAGCAGAUGGUCAUCCUAGACAAGGAGACUUGGAUCUCUCAGCUGAGGCAGAACUGCAGUCACUCCCAAAGCUUACAGAAGAGCUUCACUGCUGUCUGUGAUGUCUCCACAUGCUAACUUUCUGGGCCUCCUUGAAGGUGUGAGAGCAACAGAAUUUCACAAAGGGAGAAGUUCUCCAGGAGACACAAUCAGCCCUAGAGGGUUCAGAAAGCCAGAGGCAGGACAGAGAUGUCCUGAUGAAGCUGAGAAGCGGAGUCAGUGCAGCCUGCACAUGGUGCUUGAACCUGAGCUCCAUUCCCAGAACGCACGUUUUUUACUUUUUAAAGUCAGGCAUGGUGGCACCAACCUGUAAUCCUAGGGCGGGGGAGGAAGAGACAGACAGACUGCCGAAGCUGGCUGGUUGGUUAGCCUAGCCUACUCGGCAAGUUCCAGAGAGACAGAGAGAAGAAAUAGCAGCAUGGUUAGCUGAAACGUGUUCAGUGCUUGUUACUCAGGCAGGGCAGAGGGACAGCGUUUUACAUGUGUGGCCCGAUCUGAACGUCCCGCGUGCCCUAAGAGAUACCACUGCCGGUCUCGUAGAAGGAUGAUAUGACCCAGGCCAGAAGACGGCAACACACAUGCUGAGGAUUCUGGCCACACCCUGCAGUGCUUUUGUUCUCACCUGCUGCAAGAUGAGGCUGUCAAAAUGAGGCAGGAAGUGAGCUGAGGUGAGGUAGAGAGGUGCUGAGGGAGGGAGGGAGUAUCCCUGAGGGGAAGCAUGGCUCU